rnacentral:rRNA from 1 species
CAGCAGCCACGGGAAUACGUAGGGUGCGAGCGUUAAUCGGCAUUACUGGGCGUAAAGCGUGCGCAGGCGGUUGUGUAAGACAGGUGUGAAAUCCCCGGGCUCAACCUGGGAAUGGCAAUGGAUACUGGCAAGCUAGAGUGUGUCAGAGGAUGGUGGAAUUCCCGGUGUAGCGGUGAAAUGCGUAGAGACCGGGAGGAACAUCAGUGGCGAAGGCGGCCAUCUGGGACAACACUGACGCUGAGGCACGAAAGCGUGGGGAGCAAACAGGAUUAGAUACCCCCGUAGUCCCUGUCUCUUAUAA